UUAUCAUGGCUCAUGUAUAUCGCCCGUCAAGGACAAAUUCGAUUCAACUAAAUACGUCAUUCUCAUUUUAUUAGAAAAAUAGUUGAUAGGAAGUAGUGGGAAUAAGUGCUAGUUGCAGUAACUUGCAAUGGUGAUCGCCUCGUCCGUUGCAAUUGUUUCUCCGACGAACAGUGCCUUUGGGUUACUUUGUUAGGACAGUAGUCCACGGCUGGUAUUCCGCAGAGGGCGCAGUGUACUGAAUGCUUUCAUUGCACGGCUACCGUUGCCCAUAGAAAUACGCGUAACCAGAAAUUUAAUUUAAUUCUCCGAUUUUUUAGUUCUAUUUAGUUUAGUUUUGUUUUGUGCGAUGCGAUGAACUAUGUUUGUGGUUUAUGGAAGAUGACAAAAGUGAUGUUGUUGAAUGUAGUCACUUAAUUAAUUGUACAAUGUGCAGUGCUGUUCGUGUUUAAAUUAGCAACUUAAUUUCGUAAAUCUUAUCUUGUUGAAAACUGGCUGAUUCGUUGUUGUUAUUAAUAAACGAAAAAAGGCUGUGCGAAGUGUACCACGUCAGCUAGUAAAUAUUAUCCAAGUCUCCGCCUACUGCGUUGCUGUAUCAAAUACUCCCCAGUUCCAUCGGCAAUGAGAAUUCUAUUGCGAUUACCCGCGACAACGAGCAUUACGUAUUGUUUGUACUCCGCAAUAAAUAAACAUAAAAAAGCGUAUAAUUUAAUCCGGAUCAAAGCGAACGUGUGUCCAACCCGACUUAUGUUACAGUUUCUAUCGACGUGAUGUGUGAAUACAGUACAGUGCGCAUGUUGGAAAAUGUCGACAGUGUCCUGGGAACUCGACAAGUGUAACCAAUCCACGAUGAGCAAACCGAAUAUCGACGUAAUGUUUACUUGGUGGAACAUUUUCUCUUGCCUGCGGAGAGAAAAUGGUGGAAGGUGGUGCACGACGGUGGGAAAGUGAACACUUGUUGCAACAAGAGAUAGAAAUUUAAAAAAUCAAUGUUUGAAUACAAUUUAUUAUAUGCAUACAUGUGUGGUGAGUGGUUGUAAAUAAAUAAGAAUCUAUUUUGUUUGUAA